rnacentral:snRNA from 1 species
UGGCUUUGGCAGCACAUAUACUAAAAUUGGAGCAAUACAGAGAAGAUUAGGAUGUCCUGCGCAAGGAUGACGUGCAGAGUGAUGAAACAGUCCACACUUUA